UUGGGCAUAAUGAAAGCUUUGCGAAUCUUCUUCAUGGUGUGAUCUGCAACUGUUGCAGGCUCUGUUGCUGUUGCUGCAUCAUUUGGAGCUGCUGGAGCUGGACUUACUGGAAGCAAAAUGGCUAGGAGAGUUGGGGGUGUUGAUGAGUUUGAAUUCAAGGCUAUAGGAGAAAACCAUAACCAAGGCAGGCUAGGGGUUGAGAUCUUAGUCUCAGGAUUUGUCUUUGAGAAGGAAGAUUUUAUAAGGCCAUGGGAAGGACAGAAUGACAACUUGGAGAGGUACAACAGUGAACAUUUUCCUUCAAUAAUACUA